ACUCCUACGGGAGGCAGCAGUGAGGAAUAUUGGACAAUGGUCGAGAGACUGAUCCAGCCAUGCCGCGUGCAGGAAGACGGCCCUACGGGUUGUAAACUGCUUUUUUACGGGAAGAAUAAUACCCACGUGUGGGUAGAUGACGGUACCGUACGAAUAAGGACCGGCUAACUCCGUGCCAGCAGCCGCGGUAAU
rnacentral:rRNA from 1 species